UGCAAGCAGGGGGUCGUCGGUUCGAUCCCGACUGGCUCCACCA
rnacentral:tRNA from 1 species